rnacentral:misc_RNA from 1 species
GAGCUAUCGAGGUAAUUGACAGGAGAUUGUUAUACUGGCCAUGGGGACGGAUUAGUCAUGAGCUUCCGCAUCACUGAGGUGCAAUGGGGGUAUCAUUACUUAAAGUGCUUCUUCGACAUAUAUCAUCAUUUCUUCAACUUUCAUCUUCUGACUACAUUAAUUUACAACCAACUCUGAAGUACUACCAUAAAAUAGAAGGGGUCUUGAAACUAUUGAGACCAAUUCUGGAUGCCGUUGUCGAUUCAGAUAUA